CAAUGGUAGAGCCCCCUUUUAAAAAUUCUUUCUGCAAGCCCGAGCUUGCUGAGAAGGCAUUUCCUGCUUGUGGGAACAGUUCCUAAAAAAGUUGCUUUCAGUUUUGCUUUCAGAAAGCUUUUCUCCAAGGUUUUAGGCUCCAGGGGCACAGAAUCUACUCAAAACUCUCCUUGAUGGCAGGCUACCUAACAACUGCCUUCAACCACGUUGAUUUCAGGCGGGACUUUAUUAGGGGUCUGGACUUCUUUGGUGUUUUCAGCAUGAAAGGGACGAGGCUGAAGGUGGAAAUGCAGAUGGUUAAUCACCCGGGCCCAAGAAGUCCAGAGAGGAGGCAGGGAAGAGGAUGAGGCUGGAGGCUCCAACUUUACCCUUUGCUUUGGGUCCACCUUAUCCAGGUAACAGCCAGGGCGGCACUGCGAGUGCCACCGCGGGGGUGGGGGGGCUAAAGCCUGCGAUAAGAAAGCAGCGGGAGUCGCUGGGGACAUGUCCUGCCCUGCGCUGUCACUGGAAGAAGGAAUCCAGGCGGGGUCCAGCACCUGGCCACUGAUGGCUCUGCCAGGACAGCAGAGGGAAACGAGGGCGCCGGGCACAGGGGCUGAGGGCCUCCGGCUUUAAUGGCCCGGUGCCAGGAGGCAGGUCUGGCAGGGCUCCUGAGCUCCCGACCCUUGGCGGUGCCUCAGGGGCGCUCUUUCUUGGCGUCCUCACUCAGUUCCCGCCUUACUUUGGUCGAAGUGGGCCGGUGAGUUCCGGGAUGGAACUUAAGGGGGCACCUCCUUCUCCUGUUCAGUCCCCAAACUUCCCCUGCGGGCCCUGUCCCAAGGGUCCACAUCUUGGACGACAGGUUCUGUUAGACCAAAGACGCAAAGACCACCUACUCCAAUUGAAAUCAAAUUAAAGCAAGCUUAUAACUUCAACUAGCCAGGCUGCCUCUCCCAACCCCAAACCACAGGAACAAAAGACAGCCCUGCAGCUCUCCAGGAGUGCAACUUUAUAGCCCAGAAAGUUACACAAGGGGAGGUUUGAGAACUUACAGAUAACAAAACUCUGAUGAGCAUAACACAAAGGCUAGUUUAUUUUUUUGCUGGCCCCAACAUCAGAAUUUAUGAAGGUCAUAUUUAUGAAGGUCAUUAGAGCCUCAGGAGGAUCAUUAUCUGGCCAGGGAAGGCCAAGAUUUAUGAGGUCUCACCAAAGUUUCAGAGAGGGUUGUUAUCUGGUCAGGGAAAGUCAGGCAUGGGUGAGUCCAGGGGACCGGCAGGCAUUGCAAGCAAGUUUAGAAAUCGCAGUAAUUUAUAGUAAAGCCGAAUCUUUACUAUAAAUCUUAUAUAAUCUUAAGAGGGUAUUAGGCUGAGUUUAUCAGGCUCAAUUUACUUUCUUUAUCAUCCUGACUAGAUCAUCCUGACUGCCUCUAUUUUUCAAACACCUUUUGGGCUAUCUCUAGUAGUUCUGACCUGUUCUUCCUUGCAGAGCCAUUUAUAUUUUGAAUCUUUUUAUGGAUGUCUGGGGCUGACUGAGUUACAAAAGCCAGGUUAAUCGCCUUCAGGUUUGUCGGGUCCUCAGGGUCUAUAGGGAUAUAUAGACGGUAUGCCUCUAGGAGCCGUUAGAGAAAUGCUGAAGGCGACUGUCUGGGCUUUAUUUUACCUCUGCUACUUUAGAAAGAUUGGUGGGCUUGCAAGCUGCACUCUUAAGACCCUCUAACAGAGCCUGGUGUAUUCUCUGAGUGUUCUCCUACCUUCAGCUGUUCCAUAGUCCCAGUCUGGUCUCCUUUGAGGUAAAGCAAGGUCGAUCACUUGUGUUUUCUCAUCACUUUAAGAGAGCCUAUUCCAGGCAGCGCUUUAGCUGCUUCUGCCAGGAUUCGCUCCCUUUCCUCUGUAGUGAAGAGGGUGGAGAGUCUGUGGCAGUCCUCCCAGGUAGGGAGGUGAUUAAAGAAGAAAGAAUCCACCAGCGAAAUCAGGGAACUAGGAUCCCACACUAAAUGAGGGAUUCUGGUUUUUCCAGUUGUAAAGAUCCAUCAAGGAAAAUGGAACAUACAUAUAGCAACCUUCUGGAACCUGGCGGAGAGGAAGGACAAAGGCAGGAGUUGCCUCUACUUCUGGGAUAGAAAUAGAAAUGGAGCCCACAGGUAGACCAGGGGAAGGAAUUGAGUCAGAUCUUACAUAAGGGUGACCCUGUCAGGUAUGGGGAGGAGAAAGAACAGAGGCUGGUUCUUUGGAGAAGGUGGAGUGGAAGAAGUGGUGGAAUGAGGUGUUUGUGAAAGU
rnacentral:lncRNA from 1 species